rnacentral:rRNA from 1 species
UGAGUAACCUGCCCUUAACUCUGGGAUAAGCCUGGGAAACUGGGUCUAAUACCGGAUAUGACUCCUCAUCGCGUGGUGGGGGGUGGAAAGCUUUAUUGUGGUUUUGGAUGGACUCGCGGCCUAUCAGCUUGUUGGUGAGGUAAUGGCUCACCAAGGCGACGACGGGUAGCCGGCCUGAGAGGGUGACCGGCCACACGUGGGACUGAGACACGGCCCAGACCUCCGUACGGGGAGGCAG